rnacentral:rRNA from 1 species
UACGUAGGGUGCGAGCGUUGUCCGGAAUUAUUGGGCGUAAAGAGCUUGUAGGCGGUUUGUCGCGUCUGCUGUGAAAAUCCGGGGCUCAACCCCGGACUUGCAGUGGGUACGGGCAAACUGGAGUGUUGCAGGGGAGACUGGAAUUCCUGGUGUAGCGGUGAAAAUGCGCAGAUAUCAGGAGGAACACCGGUGGCGAAGGCGGGUCUCUGGGCAACAACUGACGCUGAGGAGCGAAAGCGUGGGGAGCAAACAGG